UUUCAUGAAAAAAUAUCCUUGUGCAUCUUGUGUGUAUUUUGUGAAAUGCUAUAGUUGAAUAUUUUAGUUUUUUUCAAAAUAUGCUCAUAAUGUGCAAGGGUGAUUUGUUAUCGGU